AUACGAAGGUCCCAAGCGUUAUUCGGAAUCACUGGGCGUAAAGAGUACGUGGGCGGUUUGGUAAGUCAGGUGUGAAAUCCCGAAGCUCAACUUCGGAACUGCAUCCGAUACUGCCAGACUAGAGUAAUGGAGAGGCAGGUGGAAUUCUCGGUGUAGCAGUGAAAUGCGUGGAUAUCGAGAGGAAGACCAAUGGCGAAGGCAGCCUGCUGGACAUUUACUGACGCUGAGGUACGAAGGCUAGGGGAGCGAAAGGGAUUAGAUACCCGAGUAGUCC
rnacentral:rRNA from 1 species